AGUGAACGCUGGCGGUAGGCCUAACACAUGCAAGUCGAACGGCAGCGCAGAGGAGCUUGCUCCUUGGGUGGCGAGUGGCGGACGGGUGAGGGAUACAUCGGAAUCUACUUUUUCGUGGGGGAUAACGUAGGGAAACUUACGCUAAUACCGCAUACGACCUACGGGUGAAAGCAGGGGACCUUCGGGCCUUGCGCGAUUGAAUGAGCCGAUGUCGGAUUAGCUAGUUGGCGGGGUAAAGGCCCACCAAGGCGACGAUCCGUAGCUGGUCUGAGAGGAUGAUCAGCCACACUGGAACUGAGACACGGUCCAGACUCCUACGGGAGGCAGCAGUGGGGAAUAUUGGACAAUGGGCGCAAGCCUGAUCCAGCCAUACCGCGUGGGUGAAGAAGGCCUUUGGGUUGUAAAGCCCUUUUGUUGGGAAAGAAAUCCAGCUGGCUAAUACCCGGUUGGGAUGACGGUACCCAAAGAAUAAGCACCGGCUAACUUCGUGCCAGCCGCCGCCGUAA
rnacentral:rRNA from 1 species